GCUUACGACCACACCGGCCUGAGUACGCCUGAUCUCGUCUGAUCUCGGAAGCUAAGUAGGGUCGGGCCUGGUUAGUACUUGGAUGGGUGACCUCCUGGGAAUACCAGGUGCUGUAAGCU
rnacentral:rRNA from 1 species